UACGUAGGGUGCGAGCGUUGUCCGGAUUUAUUGGGCGUAAAGAGCUCGUAGGCGGUUUGUCGCGUCGGCCGUGAAAUCUCCACGCUUGACGUGGAGCGUGCGGUCGAUACGGGCAGACUUGAGUUCGGUAGGGGAGACUGGAAUUCCUGGUGUAGCGGUGAAAUGCGCAGAUAUCAGGAGGAACACCGGUGGCGAAGGCGGGUCUCUGGGCCGAUACUGACGCUGAGGAGCGAAAGCGUGGGGAGCGAACCGG
rnacentral:rRNA from 1 species